AAGAGAAACUGAAGUCCAGGGACCAUGAAUUCCUGAUAGAAAGUCAGCUGGCGAAGCCACUGGCCAGAUGAACCUGCUUCAGAUGUCGUCCUCACUUUGCUUCUCCCACCACAGCACCUCCCCAACUCUGGGCUCUCAUUUGGUAUCACUGGUGCCAUCAGGAUCGACCAGGGCUGGCUGUGCCCGUCAGCUGCUGGGCUGCUCUUCAGUGAGGCUUGGAAGUUCCAGCAAAAGCCCUGCCUUUGAGCCAGAACCCCUCUGCCACCGUCCGAACGUGGAUCCUUUGUAGUGGAGACAAAAAGCAAGUGGCACCCUGGCUGGGCCCAUCCCUCAGCUGAGAAUUCCAAGUAACGCUUCAUCAUCGCGAGUGCACUGCGCCGCUUUAAUGCCUGGCGGAGCAUGAAUUGUAAACACGUCAUUACACUUAAAAGCUGCCCUGAGAUGACGGCUGCAGGAGAACCGGCCCUGAAGAAAAGAGGGGUUUGGCUGAAAAUGAGCUGCUGAAUAAUUGAUCACGAAUUGAAAAGUCAAUACCUUAAGUGAGGCACGGUGAAGCUCCAGAACUUGGAGGUAAACACUGUGAGGCUGUAAUGUUUUAGAGAACAUGGCCAAAAGCAAUAGCUCUUUGGAAGGAGCAGGAGGCAAACAGACCCCAGCCGAGGGUGGGCUGAGCCUGACUGCGGGUGGAGGCGGGGUGGGGCCUGAAAGGAGACGCAGAGCAGAGCUGGCCUUGGAGGCUGCUCCAUCUUAGCUGGAGGAGAGGAGAGGCCAGAACGGAGUUGGGGAACAGCUGAGAACAAAAUGAGCGAUGCUAAGCAGGAGUCCCAAGAAGACUCGACCAUGGGCCCAGGAAAGCUUCCUGGAGGAGAGAGGACCCAGGCCUGGAAGGGAGGAUUUGAUUGAGGGAGGUGAGGGGACUCUCAUCAGAUGAGCUGUUAAGGUAUCGCAGGAGAGGGGCUGAAGAGGCUGGUGUUGGGUGCAGGUUGAAGAACACCAUGGAGAAGAAUGGCAACUCAUUGAAGUUCAAAAUGGGAACCACUGCAGAUUCUUUGACAGGACAUUAACAUUCAUUCAUCAAUAUUCAGCAUAUGCUUGAGUAGCUAAGUUCCACAUUCUGGGCUGGUGCUAAGCACAGGUCCCCAGCCUCCCAGGACUUACAUUCCAGUGAGGGAGACAGAUAACCAAAACAUAGUCUUCACAUGUAUUGUCCUUAGUGUUCUAUAUGCACCAGCUCAAUCUUCGCCAUGAGGUUAAGAGCUGGGCGAAAUAAUUAUCUCCAUUUUACAGAUGGAGAAACUAAGGCUUAGAGCGGUUCAGUAAUUUGUCCAAGGCAACCCAGCUAGUAAAUGAUGGAGCUGCCGCUGCAGCCUGAGAUUAUAUAGUUAUGAUUUGGGGCUAAAUGUUUAUGUGGGGAAGUGUACGGGGGCGUGGGCCAGUGUUGCAUACCUGGCUCUGUUUAGCGGCCCAGGAAGCCUUUCUAGACAAAGGAGCUAAGAUGAAACCUGAUGAGCUGGGGUGAUGUGGGCGGUAAGAGUGGCUUGUGCAAGGGCCUGGGAGUGGCCAGAGAGGGAGGGAGGGAGGAGAGGCCAGAUCUGGCAGAUCUUUGAAGGCAUGUCAAGGGGCCCAGAUUUCAUCCUGAGGGCAGUAAGAAGCUGAUGAAGGGCUCUAAGAGGGGAGGGAUGGAGAGUGCAUGUGACAGGGUCGAUUUUGCAUUUUUAAAAGAUCACUCUGGCCACGUUGUGGAGAAUUGAUUGGUGGGGCCAGAGUGCAGGCAGCUAGAACAGUGAGGAAGUUGAGAAACAAGAAAUAAGUGAACCAAUAAAUUUGUCAACCCUUGAAUACUUUAUUCAUGUGAGGGUCCCUCAGCCCCUUGCUCAAAGCCUUUUUCCCUCAUUUACAUCCAAUUCUAAUAAUUCAGCUGUUUGUUUUCCCGAUUUAUAGUAUAUUAAGAGUAACAAUUUAGAAACGAAUUCGGGAGUGCAGUGAGUAUUCAAGGGGGAAACACAGUGGCAAUUGUGAAAAGUGACAGCUUGAUUGUAAAGAAAGACUCACACACAAAAAACGCAUUAAAAUAUUAAAACAAACAAACUGCUCAGCGGGGUGGGACCAUUCAACGAAAAGCAAAUAGCCCUACCCCA